UCCAUUGGCGAAUCUGCCUGCCGCUCUCAGAACCACACUGGCCUGCCCGCUCCAGCUCACUGUUCGUUUCCCCCCCCACCGUCGGGAAGCCCUCCAAGAAGACGCGAGACUGGGACCUAUGCCUAAGGAUCAUCUACGAGACAUUGUGAUAGCUUUUUCUAAUAAACAUUUACUCACCAGUAAUCUCCGGGCUUGAUUCUACAUGUGGGUUAGAAGUCUACCAUCCAUUAUGACAG